AAAUUGAAGAGUUUGAUCAUGGCUCAGAUUGAACGCUGGCGGCAGGCCUAACACAUGCAAGUCGAACGGUAACAGGAAGCAGCUUGCUGCUUCGCUGACGAGUGGCGGACGGGUGAGUAAUGUCUGGGAAACUGCCUGAUGGAGGGGGAUAACUACUGGAAACGGUGGCUAAUACCGCAUAACGUCGCAAGACCAAAGAGGGGGACCUUCGGGCCUCUUGCCAUCAGAUGUGCCCAGAUGGGAUUAGCUAGUUGGUGAGGUAACGGCUCACCAAGGCGACGAUCCCUAGCUGGUCUGAGAGGAUGACCAGCCACACUGGAACUGAGACACGGUCCAGACUCCUACGGGAGGCAGCAGUGGGGAAUAUUGCACAAUGGGCGCAAGCCUGAUGCAGCCAUGCCGCGUGUAUGAAGAAGGCCUUCGGGUUGUAAAGUACUUUCAGCGGGGAGGAAGGUGUUGUGGUUAAUAACCACAGCAAUUGACGUUACCCGCAGAAGAAGCACCGGCUAACUCCGUGCCAGCAGCCGCGGUAAUACGGAGGGUGCAAGCGUUAAUCGGAAUUACUGGGCGUAAAGCGCACGCAGGCGGUCUGUCAAGUCGGAUGUGAAAUCCCCGGGCUCAACCUGGGAACUGCAUUCGAAACUGGCAGGCUUGAGUCUUGUAGAGGGGGGUAGAAUUCCAGGUGUAGCGGUGAAAUGCGUAGAGAUCUGGAGGAAUACCGGUGGCGAAGGCGGCCCCCUGGACAAAGACUGACGCUCAGGUGCGAAAGCGUGGGGAGCAAACAGGAUUAGAUACCCUGGUAGUCCACGCCGUAAACGAUGUCUACUUGGAGGUUGUGCCCUUGAGGCGUGGCUUCCGGAGCUAACGCGUUAAGUAGACCGCCUGGGGAGUACGGCCGCAAGGUUAAAACUCAAAUGAAUUGACGGGGGCCCGCACAAGCGGUGGAGCAUGUGGUUUAAUUCGAUGCAACGCGAAGAACCUUACCUGGUCUUGACAUCCACAGAACUUUCCAGAGAUGGAUUGGUGCCUUCGGGAACUGUGAGACAGGUGCUGCAUGGCUGUCGUCAGCUCGUGUUGUGAAAUGUUGGGUUAAGUCCCGCAACGAGCGCAACCCUUAUCCUUUGUUGCCAGCGAUUAGGUCGGGAACUCAAAGGAGACUGCCAGUGAUAAACUGGAGGAAGGUGGGGAUGACGUCAAGUCAUCAUGGCCCUUACGACCAGGGCUACACACGUGCUACAAUGGCGCAUACAAAGAGAAGCGACCUCGCGAGAGCAAGCGGACCUCAUAAAGUGCGUCGUAGUCCGGAUUGGAGUCUGCAACUCGACUCCAUGAAGUCGGAAUCGCUAGUAAUCGUGGAUCAGAAUGCCACGGUGAAUACGUUCCCGGGCCUUGUACACACCGCCCGUCACACCAUGGGAGUGGGUUGCAAAAGAAGUAGGUAGCUUAACCUUCGGGAGGGCGCUUACCACUUUGUGAUUCAUGACUGGGGUGAAGUCGUAACAAGGUAACCGUAGGGGAACCUGCGGUUGGAUCACCUCCUUACCU
rnacentral:rRNA from 1 species